UCAAGUCUUCCCGGGGGCUGCCAGGAGUGGGAGGGCUCGGGCUCUGGAUAAGAGUCAAGAGCCAUGCUCGGUUUGAGAAGGAGGGAGAAGUUUCGGAAGAGCUGGGUGCAGCACAUCUCCCCCAGGGCAUUUUGGGCUGGCUGGAGAGAUCGACAUCCAGAUUGAGAUUAGGGCUCCCUCGUGCUAUAUCCUAAACGCGCGCUCGAGGAGAGACGGCCCCUGCCCUGGCGAGCCGCCGGUGCAAACGGACAAGGCAGACGAUGUGGAAGGAGGCAGGAGGUAGCAGCACCCCUCCUGUCCAUGAGAUCGCAGGCAGAGAGGAGGCAAGAGCCAGCCUCAUGCAUGACCUCCAGUCCCUUUUCAGGAGCAAAGACAAGGGCUGGGUUUCCAAAGAGUCCAACACGUGGGGUGGUCCGCGUGCGGCUGGACCGUGUUCGCGUGGUCGAAAGCAGGAUGUAUGAACGCAGACCGCGGCAACCACCUGCGCUUCAGGGCUGGACCUUGUUGAAACUCUUCCAGCUGCUCUUCCAGCUUGCGUGACCUCCUCUCAUCCUCCCGGAGGAACAGCUGGAUGAGCCUGACCGCGUCCCUCCUGCCAGAACGCGCCGCUCCUGGCCUAGCUAUUAGUUUCCCCAAGCAGCUCAAUCUUCCCCAGCAGGUUUUAUGUUCAGACAACGGUGGCAUGAAUCGCUCCUUUCUGGAGGAGGUUUUUAUUAAAGUCCUCCGUUCAUUCA